rnacentral:rRNA from 1 species
UACGAAGGGGGCAAGCGUUGUUCGGAAUUACUGGGCGUAAAGGGCGCGUAGGCGGCCGAUCAAGUCAGGCGUGAAAUUCCCGGGCUCAACCUGGGGGCUGCGCUUGAUACUGAUUGGCUUGAAUGCGGGAGAGGAUAGUGGAAUUCCCAGUGUAGAGGUGAAAUUCGUAGAUAUUGGGAAGAACACCGGUGGCGAAGGCGGCAUC